CUUCACCUUUAGAAACCCUAGUUCAUAUGAAAGUCCAUCCGUUAACUCACUUUCUUUCUUCUCUCUUUCGUUUCAAACAACAGUGUUCCUUUUUCUACUCUUUUGUUUUUCUUGUAUGAAAACCAAGACUGGUUGUGAGAAUGUCGUGGUGGCGAGCGAGGGAGGUGUAGAUCAGAGGUGAUGGUGGUUGGUAACAGUUGGUUUGACCAAGAUGUUAAAAGGCGAUGGUUAGUGGUGGUUAAUUACAGGUGUGUGUUGGUUGUUGAGAGGGUGGUUAUGGCGUUUGAGUGUAAGUAGGUUGGUGAACGGAGGUCUGUUGUGCUUCGAUGGAGUUGAAAACCAUUUCAGUUACAGAAAAAAUGUUGAAGAACCCUAAAGCUAAAUGAGUUUGUAUCCAAAACAAGAAAUCCAAAUUGUCGUUAGAUGAAGCUGGUUGUGCGUACUUUUUGAUUGGAGGGGGGGGGGGGGGGUUAGGAAGAUCAAAAUCAAAUGAAACCCGAGUGUUAACGUGCGUAUUUUGUAUGAAUUAUUGUAGUUUAAGUGAUAAUGUGCUUGGAAUAUGUUAACUACGUGCGUUUGUAAUGUUACAGAUUAAUUGCUUAAAUCGGUAAAGUUAGAUGUUUGGCGAUGAAGCGGAACACCCGUGGAUGAUAAUCAAGGUAUAUUACAUUAUUCGGUAUUGAUUUCGGGUUAGAAGAUAGCUUGGAAGUGCUAGAAAUGCAAAAGAAUGAAGUCCAGGGGUGUAUGUGUCAUUCUAUGAAAGUUGUGAUUUUGAAGAAUGUUGAGUUGGGAGUUGCGACGUAAGCUAUGGAUGAUCUGUAGCCUACAGUUCUAUCAUAACGAAACAUAUCGGCAGCUACGUGUUGUAGGCUACGGCUGAUCUGUAGCCUAUGGUUUAGCCAGACAUAAAGAAACAGCCAGCACGAUCUGUAGCCUACGGAUCAGACGUAGGCUACGACGGACUUGAAAAGGGCAGCGCGAAAUUGACGUUUUUAAGGGUAUUAAAAGGGUUCUCCAACCCUAACUCGUAGAGGAGAGCUUUUGGACGAAUUUUUGGGGAUACAAGACACCCUUGGGCAUUAAUAUUCACCAUCAAUCACCAUACUUUCCAUCAAAACUAAGAUCAAGAUGAUGAAAUCAACCGUUUAUCAAUCCAUCGAGAUGAGCGGCUAAUUCUCUAUGGUUUCCUCCAGGUGGAGGAUUCUUGUAAGUGAACUAGGCUAUGUGUUUGAAACUUUGUUAAAUCCGGUAAUCUAAGUAUUCGAUGCUUGUUACCGGUUGAUUUGAUUAAGUUGAAUUGUAAACAAUUGAUUUUGCUUUAAACCUAGUUUUGAUUCUUUC